CAGGGAAAUGCCAUAGCUUACUUGCUAACUCCCUCUACCCAGACUGACCAGUUUCUGCACUGCCUUUUCCAGAGACUCACUUUUGAGCCAGGGAACAUCCAUUCGCACACUCUUUUUCCAGAGCUUCACGGUUCUUCACGAAAUUGGUUCACUACUUCAUUACAACUCAGUUGCUGAGGAUAGGGAGAGUUGGUUAAAGCCUAGGUAGAAAAAUAGCCACUGGAGAGACAUGCUUUAACACUUAAACUGCACUCCUGUCUUCCACACUCCACCCGUGCUGAUGGGGAGGAGAGACAGCAAAAUCAAGAAGAGCUGCCAUUGGUAACAAUGAGUGGCCCUUCCCCAUGAAUGUCCAUCCCUUUCCUGGUGUGGUUUAGACACUGGCCGGAGCAGAGCACAAGAGCCCUGAAAGUAUUAGGAGUACACGCCAUCGGGAACUACAGGGAUCUCUUGUGGGCAAAACCAGCAAGCUGGAGUACAAAAGUGAGCAGAGCAAGUGACCAACCAGAACACAAUGGAGAAGGACAGACAAACUGCCACAAAAGAAAACAGGAAAAAACCACCAACAAAAUCCUUAGCUGCUUACCCUCCAAAGGCCAUGCUGUAAGGAGGGCAAAGUACUACACUGGGAAGCACAUGGCAGAAAGAAAGACAUGGAUACAGGAAUCACAGACCCCUGGAGUUUUGGAUGCUCCAAGAGAAAAUAUAAAGCAAAAAAACAAAACGGCAACAAAAAUGGAGUUUGUCUUGGAGGAACACUGGGAAACACCAGCACAAAGUAGAUACUCUCCUCAUCCCAUAGCCUCAUCAUUCUACCCACACAGGUGACAAUGACCAUGGAGAAAGCAGAAUGGCUGACAUGCAAAUGAGGCACAGGGCCCAGGUGUCACAAGCCUCCCACAGAAUAUACUCAAGCAAGCAAGUACAGAAAGCGGGAAGUUAAGUCCACAGUACAUUUUGCUUUGUAAUUGGUUUAUUUUGUUAGGGUAACACAGUC
rnacentral:lncRNA from 1 species